GGAGAUGUGCCGGAGCGGCCGAACGGGGCGGUCUCGAAAACCGCUAUACCGCAAGGUAUCGGAGGUUCGAAUCCUCCCAUCUCCG
rnacentral:tRNA from 1 species